AGCUUGCUAUAGUAUAACUUAGUGGCAGACGGGUGAGUAAUGUAUAGGAAUCUACCUAGUAGUACGGGACGAAUUAGCUGGAAACGGCAACUAAUACCGUAUACGCCCUACGGGGAAAGGAUUUAUUGCUAUUAGAUGAGCCUAUAUUAGAUUAGUUAGUUGGUGGGGUAAGUAGGCCUACCAAGGCAAUGAUCUAUAGCUGAUCUGAGAGGAUGAUCAGCCACACUGGAACUGAGAUACGGUCCAG
rnacentral:rRNA from 1 species